rnacentral:rRNA from 1 species
CUUUACACAUGCAAGUCGAACGGUAACAGGGUGCUUGCACCGCUGACGAGUGGCGAACGGGUGAGUAAUGCGUCGGAACGUGCCGAGUAGUGGGGGAUAACGCAGCGAAAGUUGUGCUAAUACCGCAUACGUACUGAGGUAGAAAGUGGGGGACCUUCGGGCCUCACGCUAUUCGAGCGGCCGACGUCUGAUUAGCUAGUAGGUGAGGUAAAGGCUCACCUAGGCGACGAUCAGUAGCGGGUCUGAGAGGAUGAUCCGCCACACUGGGACUGAGACACGGCCCAGACUCCUACGGGAGGCAGCAAUGGGGAAUUUUGGACAAUGGGCGAAAGCCUGAUCCANCCAUGCCGCGUGUCUGAAGAAGGCCUUCGGGUUGUAAAGGACUUUUGUCAGGGAGGAAAUCCCUAGUGCUAAUAACACUGGGGGAUGACAGUACCUGAAGAAUAAUAACCGGCUAACUACGUGCCAGCAGCCGCGGUAAUA